UAAACGGACCAUCGAGAAUCCAUUGGAGGGCAAGUCUGGUGCCAGCAGCUGCGGUAAUACCAGCUCCGAUAGCGUAUAUUAAAGUUGUUGCAGUUAAAAAGCUCGUAGUUGGACUUGUGUGCGCUGUCCGCGGGUGGCCUGCGCCCAAAAGGGCGUUUCGGUUCGGCCCCGGUGGCGCCUUGAAAUCUGCAGCUGGGGGGACGUUGGCCUUAACUGGUCGGCGACCGCGCGCCGGCUGCUCGGUUACUGUGAGAAAAUUAGAGUGUUCAAGGCAGGCAUUGGGUGCAAUUGAAUACAUUAGCAUGGAAUAAUAAAAUAUGGCUCCUGCCGUAUUUUGUUGGUUUUGACUGGUGGGAGUAAUGAUUGAUAGGGACGGUUGGGGGUGCUAGUAUUGAGCGGCCAGAGGUGAAAUUCAUGGAUUCGCUCAAGACUAACUUAUGCGAAAGCAUUCACCAAGGACGUCCUCUUUAAUCAAGAACGAAAGUUGGGGGAUCGAAGACGAUCAGAUACCGUCGUAGUCUCAACCAUAAACUAUGUCGACUUGGGAUCGGCGGUAGUUUUUUCAUUAAGACACUGUCGGGACCACGGGAGAAAUCAAAGUGUCUGGACUCUGGGGGAAGUAUGGUCGCAAGGCUGAAACUUGAAGGAAUUGACGGAAGGGCACCACCAGGAGUGGAGCCUGCGGCUUAAUUUGACCCAACACGGGGAAACUUACCAGGUCCAGAGAUGUAGAGGAUUGACAGAUUGAAGCUCUUUCUUGAUCACUUCGGUGGUGGUGCAUGGCCGUUCUUAGUUGGUGGAGUGACUUGUCUGGUUAAUUCCGUUAACGAACGAGACCUCAGCCUGCUAGUGUAGUCGGCUGGAUUGCCUUUGGCGAUCCGUGAUUUCGACUUCUUAGAGGGACAAUCGACGCGCAGUCGAUGGAAGUUUGAGGCAAUAACAGGUCUGUGAUGCCCUUAGAUGUUCUGGGCCGCACGCGCGCUACACUGCUGGGCUCAGCGAGUUUUACUUGGCCGAGAGGCCCGGUUAAUCUUGUGAAAUCCCAGCGUGCUUGGGCUCGCCUCCUGCAACUGGAGGCGCCAACGAGGAAUUCCUAGUAGACGCAGGUCAUCAACCUGCAUCGAUUACGUCCCUGCCCUUUGUACACACCGCCCGUCGUUCCAUAAGAGUGAGGCAUCCGGUGAAUUCUCGGGAGAGCCUGGGCGUGGCCAGCAAUGGUCUGCUCGGGUUUGAACUUGCAUAAACUUGGUGCCUAUGAUUAGGG
rnacentral:rRNA from 1 species